GACGAACGCUGGCGGCGUGCUUAACACAUGCAAGUCGAACGGAAAGGCCAUGCUCUUGCGGGGUGCACGAGUGGCGAACGGGUGAGUAACACGUGAGUAACACGCCCCUGACUUUGGGAUAACUUCAGGAAACUGGGGCUAAUACCGGAUAGGAGCUACUGCUGCACGGUGGGGGUUGGAAAGAUUCGGCGGUUGGGGAUGGACUAGCGGCUUAUCAGCUUGUUGGUGAGGUAGUGGCUUACCAAGUUUUUGACGGGUAGCCGGCCUGAGAGGGGGACCAGCCACAUGGGGACUGAGAGACGGCCCAGACUCCUACGGGAGGCAGCAGGGGGGAAUAUUGCACAGUGGGCGGAAGCCAGUGACAGCAGCGCCGCGAGCGUAAUGACGGCCUUCUGGUUAUGAACCGCUUUCGCCUGUGACGAAGCGUGAUUGACGGUAAUGGGUAAAAAAGCACCGGCUAACUACGUG
rnacentral:rRNA from 1 species